UACAAUAAAUUGCAGGUAUAAGUUUUAUUGAUUUUGUAUAACGAUAAGUGCACUAACAAAGUAUAUAAAUCUCUUAACAUAAAAUAAAAAAAUAAAAAAAUAAAAAACAAAACAAAAAAAAAACUUAGAAGUAGAAUAAAACCUUGUGAAUAAACAAAUUCUCUAGUGUUGUAGCUUUGGCAGUGAUCUUGAAAAUGGCGAAUCAGCAGCAAGCAUCGAGUAGGCCAUGGAUACUCGAAGUCGUACCUCUUCUAGUCGUCAUACUAAUCGCUGCUCAUGUCCUAGCUUUGGUAUAUUUUCCCUAUCUCUUACUGUGUUUGUGUUUUUUAACUAGUACAUACUGUGAUUUUUUGAGUCAUUUACUGAAUUUGGGUGUAGGUGUACUGGAUUUACCGGCUAGCAACUGAGAAACAGCCUCAGAGGAGAAAAAAGCACUAGCAAUAUGUAGAUUAGAUGAAUUUUCAUUUCGCUUCAGCUUUUGGGAAAAUUCAAGGUACAAAAACCCUAGUAUUUCCUUGUGUUUUCUUAUUCUCCUUUAAGUUUGUGAAACUUUCAAUUGUUCUUUGAAAUUUGAAUUACUCAAAAUAGAAAUUUGAAUUACUCAAGAAUUUGAGUUUUUGAAAAUUAUAUUACGGUUAAAUUAUUGUUGAAUAUUUGUCCUGUUUGUACAAUUAUCACUUGGAAUUUUGUAAAUAUUCAUAGAUUUAUAUGCCAGUAAAAAUAUAGAGAACUUGUAAUAUUGUUAUGGUUAUUAUUUAUAUAUAUUUAACUUAUUUUCAUUUUUCUUAUUUGAUGUGAUGUUGACAUGAGUUGAGCUUAAAUGGAGAAAUAGCGAAAGUAAGGAUUCAUAUUGCCGACCCCAACUUGUUUGGGAUUAAGACAUAGUUGUUGUUGUAGAGAUCACUCUGUGAGGUGUCAAUUCUAUUGGAUGAAGAAAUUUGGUAUUGGGUGGUCGUUUUUUUUUGUUGUUGCUUUCUUUGAGUUGGACUGCCCAUAUUUAUAUUGCCUGAUGUAUAAGAUGGCUGCAAAUGUGAAUGGAUUUUUAUAGCAGUCACGGGAGAGUGAAUUCUUCUUUUCUUUUGCUAUUGAACUUUUUUAAGAGGCACGUGAUGUGAAUGUUAAAUAUGAUAGAGAAGUCCUUGGAGUCAAAUUGGAAUAGACUAAGCAUUGCGGUAAGUUGAAGAAUAGCUGGUAUGUGCAAAGUUUCCAUUCACGUUUGUGUUUUGGUAGUGUGCAACAAAGAAAUAGAAGGUUGUUAUUUGUUAAAGGAAUAUGAAGACUAUUUAAAAUCUAGUGCUUUGAUCUUAAUCCUCUUCUUCUUGAAGGAUAGAAGGAAAGCAAUAACUUAACUGGGUGAGAAGGUAGCAAAUUUCUACUAAAAAGAAACAAUAAAGCAGAGGAUGGAACCGACUCUUACAGGGACCUUAUUUUGGUGAACUUGCGUAUCAAAAUCUUUUGAAGUGAUAAUUUAGUUAAAUUAGGUAAUUGGAGUCAACUUUUGUUAAGGAGAUGAGGUUGGGGGAAGUCCUGUGCAAUCUUCUAAGGGGGUAAGGUGGAAAACCUUCUCUAAGAGUGAAAGCCUUUUUUUCUCCUUUGAUGUGGCUUCAUACUAAGCUAGGAUGCCAUGGAACUGUAUGAAGAAUGUUUUUAUACUUAGCGGAAAGUGAUCGCUUCAUUGCUUAAAGCUAUAGAUUGAUGUGAAGCAUGAGCUUAUCACUUAUUAUGUGUGGAGUUAUGUGACUUAGAGUGGUGCAAGGCAAUUUGAGCAAGAAUUACUCGCCGUCUUUUUUCUUCUGUUUCAGCAUUUGUUUAGAGGUGAUAUUCUUAUAACUGAUGGUGUUGAAGAAGUGCAACAGUUUGUGUAAGAAUCUUGAACUCUGAUACUAAUAUUGAUGUAGCACCAAAAGGAAGGAGGGAGAACAAGGAGACAAAUACAGAGAGAUAGUGAUUGAGAUAAGGAAUCAAAUCAUAAAAUAUAAUUUAUCAAAUGAAGUGGUUCAUCAAACUGAAAGGAGGGUCUCAGGGUCCUAUUUAUAUAUAGGGAACAUUGUACAAGGUAGAAUCCUAAUUCAGUAGGAACUUUAUCUCUAAAUAAGAGAUAAAAAUAAAAUCAAAGAUAGAUACUAUCAAUCUUAUUUACUAACCUUUUUCAUGUUUCUGAAGAAAAAAGAAGAUAACGGUAAAAUAAAACAAGGGAUAAUGAUAAAGAUGUGAAGUAAAAACUAAGCUAGCUAAUGAUAAAUAUAAGAUCUACUCUAAAAAGACAAUAAAUUCAUCUAAGAUCAAUAAUAAAAUCUUCCAAAUCUUUUAGUAUGUACAUCAGUUGACUUCAACUAUUCAUUUCUAAGGGGUUCUGGUGAUUAGAGGCUCUUAAAUGGUGUUAUGUGCAAGAAGUUGUGGUCUUCUGCCGAAGUCAAUGAUUUAUUUCCUGGCUUACCUGCUAAUGAUAAAAGAACCCUUAAAACUUUGCAAGUCUGGUGGAUUUCUGGUGCAUUUAGUGGGAGUGUAGUGGAAAAAAUAAUCUUAAGAGCAUUUUAUGUCUCCAGUAAUGUUUAGGAUAGGAUAGUUUUGAAAGAUCAGGUGUUUUGGUGAUUAAGUGUUAGAUGAUCUCCAGUGGGAUUGCUGAGCAUUCCAUACUUGAGAACAUCAGGUCUUACUGUCUCUUUUUCCGUUUACUCUAAGUACUUCUCUCAGAAGUCCUGCUGACUGGUGGCAAAACUUUUAGCGUACAUAGAUGGUUCGAUAAAAUUAUUAGGGAUUAAGUGAAGAAGGUAAUACCUUUAUAUAUGAUUACAAAUUAUUAUUAUGGCUUGAAAUAUCAUGCUUAUAUAAUAUAAAGAUGGAUACUUUUGCAUUUAUCUGGUGAUGAUUGGUGAUACCUUGACGGAGCUUCGCUUAAAAAAGCCAUGAUCUAGGAUUGCUGGGAUGUCAUUCGGAAUUUCCAGCUACAGAGCAUAAGCCAGAAAAGGUCUAUUUAUUUAUUUAUUUAUUUAUUUAUUUUCUUUUCUUUUGGGAGUGGUAUGUGGGGUUGAAAUUUGUGAGAUUGUUAUAUUGAUGAUUGUUAGAAAAACUUGACGGACUUCACUGAGUAAGAGUAUCAACUACUAGCAUGCUGUUAAAGUAUCUGAACAUGAGAUUUAAGAAUGGAGAUUAAAAGAUAUAGAACAUUCUAGCAAACAGAGGCUAACUUUAGAGAACCCUACAUCAAAUUCAAAAUACUACUGCUUCCUUUAGUUUAACAAUUUGUAUCCCAUAUUGGUGCGUAAGGGCAACCGGAGAGUUUUAUAAAGGUCUUGAAACUCCACCUAUUGACUUAACAUUUUGGAUUGGAUGCUCAAAUUGUUUCACAUGAUAUUAAUGCCAAUUCCACUCGUAAAUCCACAUGGAAGUCCAUGUAUGAAUACCAUAUAGGGAAGGGUGUUGAACUAUAUAAUAUCUCACAUCAGGGAUAAGCGAUUCAGAGGAGUUUAUAAAGGUUUGAGCUACUCAACUGGAGGUUUGAGUUGCAUGUUCAAUUCUUUCCCUUUUUGUAGAAAAGAAAAUAAAGAAAUAAAAGUAUCCCCUCUCUAAUUGUUUAAGUAGAAGUCUUGAGUUCGAUCCUUAUCUUCACCCAGUGAUAAAAGUAUUUACAUGUUCUUGGUCCAAGAGAAAGAAUUAGAUAUUUAGACCCACAUGUGAGGUAGGGUGUUGUAGUCUUGUAGACAUAAAGUAAAUAAUUAUAAACACCUCUUCUCUGAAAUGGGUCACACGAAUCAACAACUCUCGGAUGGAAUAAUCACAUUUAUUUAUCAUUUCUGGAUAAUCUCCAAUAAUCUAAAAAGCAAAGUUAUAACAGUUUAAUGAGGUGACCAAAGUUAGAUAUUGUACAUUCAUUUCUGACGUGCGUUGCAUCUACACCAUCCAUCGUUUGAUAACUGAUUUUCUUGUAUGCAGUGAUUUUAUCAGAUACUGAAUGGUCAUGUUUGUGGUUAUUCAGGUUGAUCUUUGAUUACUUUGAGGAGCUAUAUCUUGACUUUGAUGCAUGCUGUUCUCUAUCUUUUAUAAUGUUCCCUUCUGUUAACUCUGAACUCAUCAGUUAACUACUCCAGAAGGAGCAUAUCUAUUACCAAUUCUAUCGUGCAUUGCAUUGUUGUUGUAGAACAUUUUGUCUGAGUUUUCGAGUAUAAAGACUAAAGAGUCAAAGCCUCUGCAUCUUACAAGAUAUCUCAGGCUAUUACAAGUCCUAUUUUGAAAAGUAAUUGUCGUUCAUGCUGUCAAACGUUAUGUUCCUCUUUUACUUCUCAGCUUUUGUUUUUCAGUUUCGCUUUCUGAUGACUGAGAAUUUGUUUUUGUUUGUUAGUAGGGAUUCAUUCUAUACCGGUUCAGAAGCAAGCUUUACACUCAAGGCUUUGGUGAUUGGUCAGCCCUCUUUGCCUAAGCAUACACGUGUCCUCUUUUUCUCCAUGAAUUUGUGUGCAAUUAUGCUGGAAAAGUUUGGGAUUUGUUACAUGUUAAUGGAUCGCGUUAAUCACUUGCCAUUGUUGAGAAACUUCUACAUUCUUCUAUUAACGUCAGUGCUGUGCAUUUAUACCCCAAGUUUGUAAUUCUUCUACAGGAUUUUCAUCACUAAUCCUCUUUUGGUGUGUGUGCUUUGUCAACAGUCUUUGCUAGAGCCUGUCAUACAGUUGUAGUUUCUUAUGCAUAGGGAACUUGAGUCAUACAUGUAAAGUUGAUCUAGUAUGAAAAUUGCAACAGAAGUUUGAGGAUUAUUAGGUGUAAUUGGCUGUUUGAGUGAGUUAUAUAAACUUGUGUAAAGUGGACUGAUGUAGACAGAAAAGAUUUUGUCAACCAAAAUUUACUAAACAUUGGUCAUAUUUCAGUCCAUUUUAAUCUUUCAAAUGUUUGCUUUUAUCUUUUUUCCUCAUAUAACUAAUAACGACCACCAAAGGUUGUAGUUCCUCCUUCCUUAACUAGAUGUAUUGCAUUUGAGCUUUGAGAAAGGAGUUAAUUUUUUAGGAAGUGCUUUAUCUCAAAAUCAGACACAGUGUGGAAAGUCAAAAAAAGAUAAAAACAAAAGGAAUAUGAAAGACUUGUACCUCUGAUCAGAAAGAUACUAGAGUUAGUACUUGUGACGCUGCUGUUCGAUGUGAUUCUUGGUCACUGAAUGUCUUAUUGACACCAAAGUAUAUUUUAAUGUUUUCUGAAAUAGCAUUCGGGUUUUUUCACAACAGAAGCGAGGCUGUAGACGAUAAGAAGAACAAGUGUUAAUUUGAUUUUCUCUUGACUGACAUUUUUUUUUAAUGACUUGAUUUUUGUAAAAAGGUAGACUUAUUUCGUUUAUGGAUUCAACAAUUUCAUCUUUCGAAUUCUGAGAAUAUUCAAAUGUAAAAAAAAGAAUUUAUUUUAAAAAGAAAAUAAACGACUCUUUUUGCUCAAGAUUACAAAUAAGACAAUAAAGGAUCUAAUUCUUCUCGGGAGAUUUUUUUUUUUUUUUUUUUUGUUUUUGCACAAGAGGUUUAAUUUGGGAUUACACAAAAUGUGCUCCAGAAAUAAUUAACUUAAAACUUGUACCACACUCCAAAAUCUCAUUUUUUUCAAAUCCUUCAACAAUGGUUGAUGAAAAGGACAAAAAGUAAAGGAAAAGACAACAUGCUUCCUACACCCAACUGUCAUUUCAGUCCACAAGUCCCUGAAACAUUCACACACCUGUUUUUCAAUGUCCGAGCAUCACAUUUGGUCUUUCUUCAACAUCCCACCACCAACCACGAAUUUCUCGGCCAAGCUCAAGCUUUAUUGUGCCACCCCACAGGAAUCUUUUACCUAUCACAGUAUUGAUGUUCAAAUAUCCUCUGGCAUAUUUGAAAAAUCAGAAAUGAUAACCUUUUCAACAACCUCCACAACCCAGUUCACCCCCCAACCAUCCUCUUCCACGUUAUCAAAUUUCACUACUUAUCUCCCAUAACACCUUUGUCCCCUUCUAUUCAUGUCCAACACAUUAAUUUGGGAUGGCUCCUUUAAUCCUCAAACGCUGCAAGCAUCUGCUGGAGGAGUUCUCCGCAAUCACCGAGGACAGUGGAUCAGAUGUCCACUAUCUGCUUUACUGCUUUAGAAUCUGAACUAAGAGCCCUCCUCUUGGGUCUCCAGAUUGCUAAUGACUUACUUCUUCUAUCCUUAAAGAUUGAAAUACUUAUCUCCAUGAUCCGCAAUGAGAAUAAUAUACUCACAUCUUAUGUUUGAUUGCAGGACCUUACUCCACCAGCUCCGGACAGUCACACUUGACCACAUCUACCGGGUGGCAAACGGUGUAGCAGACACAUUGACAAAACUUGGCAUGCUCCUAACUCCUUCUGAAGGCCAAUUGCAGUGGAGUCUCGUACAUUUUUUGAAUGCUUUCAAUAAGGACUAUUCAGACGUUAUUGUACCACGAAUGGUCCCCCUUUCUAAAACUAUUACUGUUUUACUUUUAAUAUAACCG
rnacentral:lncRNA from 1 species